CAGCAGCCGCGGUAAUACGUAGGGCGCAAGCGUUAUCGGAAUUACUGGGCGUAAAGCGUGCGUAGGCGGUUUGUUAAGUCUGCUGUGAAAUCCCCGGGCUCAACCCGGGAAUGGCAGUGGAUACUGGCAAGCUAGAGUGUGUCAGAGGAUGGUGGAAUUCCCGGUGUAGCGGUGAAAUGCGUAGAGAUCGGGAGGAACAUCAGUGGCGAAGGCGGCCAUCUGGGACAACACUGACGCUCAGGAGCGAAAGCGUGGGGAGCGAACAGGAUUAGAUACCCCCGUAGUCCCUGUCUCUUAUACA
rnacentral:rRNA from 1 species